UACGAAGGGGGCUAGCGUUGUUCGGAAUUACUGGGCAUAAAGCGCACGUAGGCGGUCCGUUAAGUCAUGUGUGAAAUCCCCCGGCUCAACCGGGGAAUUGCGCCUGAUACUGGCGGGCUAGAGGUCGAUAGGGGUGAGCGGAAUUCCAGGUGUAGCGGUGAAAUGCGUAGAUAUCUGGAGGAACACCGGUGGCGAAGGCGGCAUCCUGGACCGGCAUUGACGCUGAGGCGCGAAAGCCAGGGGAGCAAACGGG
rnacentral:rRNA from 1 species